AGUGAACGCUGGCGGUAGGCCUAACACAUGCAAGUCGAACGGCAGCACAGUAAGAGCUUGCUCUUACGGGUGGCGAGUGGCGGACGGGUGAGGAAUACAUCGGAAUCUACUUUUUCGUGGGGGAUAACGUAGGGAAACUUACGCUAAUACCGCAUACGCCCUACGGGUGAAAGCAGGGGAUCUUCGGACCUUGCGCGAUUGAAUGAGCCGAUGUCGGAUUAGCUAGUUGGCGGGGUAAAGGCCCACCAAGGCGACGAUCCGUAGCUGGUCUGAGAGGAUGAUCAGCCACACUGGAACUGAGACACGGUCCAGACUCCUACGGGAGGCAGCAGUGGGGAAUAUGGGACAAUGGGCGCAAGCCUGAUCCAGCCAUACCGCGUGGGUGAAGAAGGCCUUCGGGUUGUAAAGCCCUUUUGUUGGGAAAGAAAAGCAGCAGGUUAAUACCCCGCUGUUCUGACGGUACCCAAAGAAUAAGCACCGGCUAACUUCGUG
rnacentral:rRNA from 1 species